rnacentral:tRNA from 1 species
AUCUUUCUAGUACAAAAGCUAGUAUCAGUGACUUCCAAUCACCCGGUCUUGGUUAAAGCCCAAGGAAAGAUA